GUAGGAGCCGGCUUGCUGGCGAUGACGGUGUGUCAGCCUCGUGGAUGUCGGCGGAGACUCCGCUAUCGCCAGCAAGCCGGCUCCUAC
rnacentral:misc_RNA from 1 species